GGGCGAUGAAGACAUAAAUCGUUUCUCGAUCCUGAUUUUCGAUUAUAAUAUCGUUAUCUGAUGACCUAUUUGUGCGUGUCUGAGCCUU